CUCCUACGGGAGGCAGCAGUGAGGAAUUUUGCGCAAUGGGGGAAACCCUGACGCAGCAACGCCGCGUGAGUGAAGAAGGCCCUCGGGUCGUAAAGCUCUGUCAAGUGGGAAGAACCCUUUCGGUGUUAACAGCACCGGGAGCUGACGGUACCACUGAAGGAAGCACCGGCUAACUCCGUGCCGGCAGCCGCGGUAAUACGGAGGGUGCAAGCGUUAUUCGGAAUUACUGGGCGUAAAGGGCGCGCAGGCGGCCUGUUAAGUCAGUUGUGAAAGCCCGGGGCUCAACCCCGGAAGUGCGACUGAAACUGGCAGGCUUGAGUAUGGGAGAGGGAAGUGGAAUUCCUGGCGUAGCGGUGAAAUGCGUAGAUAUCAGGAGGAACACCGGUGGCGAAGGCGACUUCCCGGACCAAUACUGACGCUGAGGCGCGAAGGCGUGGGUAGCAAACAGGAUUAGAUAUUUUGGUAGUCCACGCAGUAAACGGUGAUCACUAGGUGUUGCGGGCUUUGAUGUCUGCAGUGCCGAAGCAAACGCAUUAAGUGAUCCGCCUGGGGAGUACGGCCGCAAGGUUAAAACUCAAAGGAAUUGACGG
rnacentral:rRNA from 1 species